AAACCCUGAUCAUGCAACGCCGCGUGGAUGAUGAAGUACCUACGGUACGUAAAAUCCUUUCGACAGGGAAGAAACUCUUCGGAGCUGACGGUACCUGUAGAAGAAGCCCCGGCUAACUCCGUGCCAGCAGCCGCGGUAAUACGGGGGGGGCAAGCGUUGUUCGGAUUUACUGGGCGUAAAGGGCGCGUAGGCGGUUUGCUAAGUCGGAUGUGAAAACUGGGGGCUCAACCCUCAGCCUGCAUCCGAUACUGGCAGACUAGAGUGCGAGAGGGGAAGGCGGAAUUCCUGGUGUAGCGGUGAAAUGCGUAGAUAUCAGGAGGAACACCGGUGGCGAAGGCGGCCUUCUGGAUCGCAACUGACGCUGAGGCGCGAAAGCUAGGGGAGCAAACAGGAUUAGAUACCCUGGUAGUCCUAGCCCUAAACGAUGGAUACUUGGUGGUGGGGGGGAUUGAAACCCUCCGUGCCGGAGCUAACGCGUUAGGUAUCCCGCCUGGGGAGUACGGUCGCAAGGCUG
rnacentral:rRNA from 1 species